UUUUUAUAUUGUUAAUUAUUUAUCUAAUUUAAUAAUUUAUAAUGUAUUAUAUAUUUGAGAUGUGAUAUACUUACUAAGUUUUUCAAAUUUAUUUCAUAGGUAAGCCAUCAAUUUUAGGAAAUCUAAUGGUUUACAUCUAUUCAUUAAUUUAAACUAUUAAAUUUCCAUAUAAUUAUGUGUAUAUAUAUUUUAAUAAAUACUAUUUUUAUUGUUGAUUAUUUUUAUUCAAUCAUAAAAGUUGAACUAUGAAAUCUGAUUAUCAUAGAAAUAUGUAGUAUUGUGGCAAAAUUCUAUAUUGUGAAUAUAUCAAGCAAGUAAAUUUUUAUUGUGAGAUACUUAUGGUGUAAAAAAGUCACACCCCUCUUCUAUUUUUUCCUCAUACAAGAAGAAAAACAAAUUUAGAGGGUCUCAUCACACUUUUGCUUCUAUCUUCUCAUUCUUCCUUCUUAACAUUCUAAAUAGAGGCACACUCUCUUGAACUUCUCUUUGCUUCUUCUCUUUUUACUAUCUUUCUCCUAAACCAAAGACAACCUAAAUGAACAUGAGUUUGACUCAUUUCCUGUAUUGAAGAGGUCAAUCCAACUUUAAGAUCAUUACACGUGUCCUAAACUCAAGUGAAUGGUUGAGAUUUUAAAUGAGAAUUUAUUUAAAGUUUAAUUACAUAAAAAUAGAAACAGAGAAGGAAAAAAGGGUGUGAAGUAGGUAAAGUUCAUCUGAACCGUUUAGGAAGAGGGAGAACGAAAACAAUGUCAGAUCCUUCCUCCAUAUGCACCUCACCUUCCUCCCUUUGAAGUUAAUGUUACACAGGGGACAGAGGAGACAUUUAUACUGAGAUGGGAAUGAAGGUUAU